AAUACGACCGUUUGAAGAUGGAAACCGCCAGUGAAGUGAGCAAUUUGGAGCAGUUUGUUUUUAACCGCUCUUCUCUGCCCUAUUUGAGAUCUAUUAGUUCCUGUUCGCAGUUGGUGGAAUGUUGGAGGGAUUUGAAAGAUUUCAAAGCUUCUCACUUGCUGUAGAGUGAGUGAACCACACUCCAACCUUUCCACAGUUACUCCAG